UGUGAGGAAAAAUUGGGAAGGGGGUGGGAAGGGACAUGUUGGAUGGGUUUUGUACCAACCUGGGUGAGGAGGAGACGCAGACUCUGAAAACUGGAUGCUGCCGCCGCCCCAAGAAACCUGACCAAACAGAAGGGGAGGAAUUGUAGGCACUGUAACACAGGGGAGCUUUUUUUUUUUCCUGCAUGCUGAGACGGGCAACAAGGCAGAGCCAUACCGCGGGCAUCAGAAGGUUACAGGUUCAACUUUUUUCAGUGCCCAGAAGCGGCUCAUCCUGCCAGCCCUCAACCUCUGGCCUCUCCAGGACAAGGUGUACCUUGUGCAGAUCCCACAGGUAACCUCCUGCACGCUGCCACUUUUCACUUUUCCCUGUGUGGGCACAAGAAGCGCCGUGUGAACUCACUGUGGGAAGGGAAAACAAAUUCCCCGCAGCCCUGGGAUGUCUGGCUGCCGUGGAGAGGCUGCUGCUGCCAGGGCUGGAGGGGAGGAGUGACCCAGCAUUUCCAGAGCCCAGCAGCUUUGUGCACUGUUCACUCGGCCUCUCUGCCUGUGCCUGAUCAGCUUUUUGUGCAAUCAGCUGCAACGAGGUACAGGAGGUGGGAGAUGAAAUCUGAAAACCAUCCAAAGCUCUAAUGUCAUGAACCAGGAAGAAAUAAUGAUUUACCAGCCUCUUUAUGCAAAUCUCUAGAGUGGCUGGAGCUAGAGGAGUCCUACAAAGACUGGAAGAGAGAGUGAGAGAGAGUAUUUGUGUGUGUGUGUGAAUGCACAGAGAUCUCCAUCCCCUCCUUUAGAAGGGGCUGGGAGCUGCUGGAAGCAUCACACCUCCGGUCCCUUCAUUUCCUGCCUGGUCUAACUGCACAAGGCUCCAGGGGUGUCCUAAUGCCAAGCUCCAUCUGGUGCUGCUGUUGAAUUUAUUGAAAUUCCCAUCACAUUCUCCACUCUUAGAACCUGAAAAUAAACGCGGGAAGCACUUCAU